GGCAACCCGCUGGGAUCCCCUUCUACAUUGUAGAAGCUUUGUUCUUUAGCUCUUUGCGACAAAUCUUGCUACUGCUCACUCUUUGGGUCCACGCUGCUUUUAUGAGCUGUAACACUCACCUCGAAGGUCUGCAGCUUCACUCCUGAAGCCAGCGAGACCACGAGCCCACUGGGAGGGACAAACAACUCCAGACACGCUGCUUUAAGAGCUAUAACACUCACCGCGAAGGUCUGCAGCUUCACUCCUGAGCCAGCGAGACCACGAUCCCACCAGAAGGAAGAAACUCUGAACACAUCCGAACAUCAGAAGGAACAAACUCCAGACACGCUACCUUAAAAGCUGUAACACUCACCGCCGAGGGUCGGCGGCUUCAUUCUUGAAGUCAGUGGGACCAAGAACCCACCAACUCCGGACACAUAGGUUCUUAAACAGACGGCUGCCAGGUGGGCCUAGGUGUGUUCACAAACUUAGUUUUGUUCGGAACCUGCAGUGCCGACAAGGAGUAAGGCUGAAUGUGAGAAGCAGCUCACUGACUGACAGGCAGCCACUCUCCAAAGAGUCCCUGAACCAUGG
rnacentral:sRNA from 1 species